rnacentral:rRNA from 1 species
GACGAACGCUGGCGGCGUGCUUAACACAUGCAAGUCGAACGGAAAGGCCCUGCUUUUGUGGGGUGCUCGAGUGGCGAACGGGUGAGUAACACGUGAGUAACCUGCCCUUGACUUUGGGAUAACUUCAGGAAACUGGGGCUAAUACCGGAUAGGAGCUCCUGCUGCAUGGUGGGGGUUGGAAAGUUUCGGCGGUUGGGGGUGGACUCGCGGCUUAUCAGCUUGUUGGUGGGGUAGUGGCUUACCAAGGCUUUGACGGGUAGCCGGCCUGAGAGGGUGACCGGCCACAUUGGGACUGAGAUACGGCCCAGACUCCUACGGGAGGCAGCAGUGGGGAAUAUUGCACAAUGGACGGAAGCCUGAUGCAGCAACGCCGCGUGCGGGAUGACGGCCUUCGGGUUGUAAACCGCUUUCGCCUGUGACGAAGCGUGAGUGACGGUAAUGGGUAAAGAAGCACCGGCUAACUACGUG